rnacentral:rRNA from 1 species
GCUUUAAUUAACUAACCCAAACUCAUGGACAUUACUCACCUACAAGGUAUAAUACUCUACCAUAGUUAUGAGUUAGCAAUUUAGGUUGGGGUGACCUCGGAAUAUAAAAAAACUCCCGAGUGAUUAAAAUUCUAGACUUACCAGUCAAAAUGUAACAUCACUUAUUGAUCCAAUAAUUUUUGAUCAACGGAACAAGUUACC